UACGUAGGGCGCAAGCGUUAUCCGGAAUUAUUGGGCGUAAGAGCUCGUAGGCGGUUUGUCGCGUCUGCCGUGAAAGUCCGGGGCUCAACUCCGGAUCUGCGGUGGGUACGGGCAGACUAGAGUGAUGUAGGGGAGACUGGAAUUCCUGGUGUAGCGGUGAAAUGCGCAGAUAUCAGGAGGAACACCGAUGGCGAAGGCAGGUCUCUGGGCAUUAACUGACGCUGAGGAGCGAAAGCAUGGGGGAGCGAACAGG
rnacentral:rRNA from 1 species